GACGAACGCUGGCGGCGUGCUUAACACACGCAAGUCGAACGGUAAGGCCCUUCGGGGUACACGAGUGGCGAACGGGUGAGUAACACGUGGGUGAUCUGCCCUGCACUUCGGGAUAAGCCUGGGAAACUGGGUCUAAUACCGGAUAGGACCACUGCCUGCAUGGGUGGUGGUGGAAAGCUUUUGCGGUGUGGGAUGGGCCCGCGGCCUAUCAGCUUGUUGGUGGGGUGAUGGCCUACCAAGGCGACGACGGGUAGCCGGCCUGAGAGGGUGACCGGCCACACUGGUACUGAGAUACGGCCCAGACUCCUACGGGAGGCAGCAGUGGGGAAUAUUGCACAAUGGGCGCAAGCCUGAUGCAGCGACGCCGCGUGAGGGAUGACGGCCUUCGGGUUGUAAACCUCUCUCAGCACCGACGAAGCGCAAGUGACGGUAGGUGCAGAAGAAGGACCGGCCAACUACGUGCCAGCCGCCGCAGUAA
rnacentral:rRNA from 1 species